rnacentral:rRNA from 1 species
GGAGUCAGCCUGCCCAGUGACCAAGUUAAACGGCCGCGGUACCCUAACCGUGCGAAGGUAGCGCAAUCACUUGUUCUUUAAAUGAGGACUAGUAUGAAUGGCAUCACGAGGGUUACACUGUCUCCCACCUCUAAUCAGUGAAACUGAUCUCCCCGUGAAGAAGCGGGGAUAAAACUAUAAGACGAGAAGACCCCAUGGAGCUUCAAACCCGGCAUCAACCAUUAACAUCAAUACCAUAUUAAAUAAAUGGACCUGACUGCUGGUUUUAGGUUGGGGUGACCGCGGAGCAUAACAAAACCUCCAUGAUGAACGACCUCCUCUCUAAUCCGAGAGCCACCACUCAAAGAAUCAAAAAAUUGACAUUUAUUGACCCAAACUAUUUUGAUCAACGAACCAAGUUACCCUGGGGAUAACAGCGCAAUCCAUUUCAAGAGCCCCUAUCGACAAAUGGGUUUACGACCUCGAUGUUGGAUCAGGGUAUCCUAGUGGUGCAGCCGCUACUAAAGGUUCGUUUGUUCAACGAUUAAAACCCUACGUGAUCUGA